rnacentral:rRNA from 1 species
UACGGGGGGGGCAAGCGUGGUUCGGAAUUACUGGGCGUAAAGGGCUCGUAGGCGGCCAACUAAGUCGGCCGUGAAAUCCCUCGGCUCAACCGGGGAACUGCGUCCGAUACUGGAUGGCUUGAGUUCGGGAGAGGGAUGCGGAAUUCCAGGUGUAGCGGUGAAAUGCGUAGAUAUCUGGAGGAACACCGGUGGCGAAGGCGGCAUCCUGGACCGACACUGACGCUGAGGAGCGAAAGCCAGGGGAGCAAACGGG